GACGAACGCUGGCGGCGUGCCUAAUACAUGCAAGUAGAACGCUGAAGAGAGGAGCUUGCUCUUCUUGGAUGAGUUGCGAACGGGUGAGUAACGCGUAGGUAACCUGCCUGGUAGCGGGGGAUAACUAUUGAACGAUAGCUAAUACCGCAUGAAAUGGAUUAUCGCAUGAUAAUUCAUUGAAAGGUGCAAAUGCAUCACUACCAGAUGGACCUGCGUUGUAUUAGCUAGUUGGUGGGGUAACGGCUCACCAAGGCGACGAUACAUAGCCGACCUGAGAGGGUGGUCGGCCACACUGGGACUGAGACACGGCCCAGACUCCCACGGGAGGCAGCAGUAGGGAAUCUUCGGCAAUGGACGGAAGUCUGACCGAGCAACGCCGCGUGAGUGAAGAAGGUUUUCGGAUCGUAAAGCUCUGUUGUAAGAGAAGAACGAGUGUGAGAGUGGAAAGUUCACACUGUGACGGUAUCUUACCAGAAAGG
rnacentral:rRNA from 1 species